AAGAAGUCGUGCAUUUCAUGGAUCCGCUAAAAGGUGACUUUGUGCUGGUGAAUGGAAAACUAUUGUCGACAACUCCAUUAAAAUCUUCAAUGCCCAAAAGGGUAGGAAAGGAAGGAAAAUAAUCCAAUGGAAGAAUCUUGCUGAUAUUUCGGAGCAAACUGAUUCUAAGACUUGUGGUUAUUUCGUCAUGCUUUAUAUGAAAGAAAUUGUGGAGGACAAGAACUUGGAGUUUGCUACCAAGUGGGAAAGGAAAUCAAAUCUUGCUUACACACAGAAGGAUAUUGAUGUGGUUCGAGCUGAAUGGGCAAAUCAUGUUAUGAAGUUCUAACUUUGGUUCUGUUUAAGGUAGAUGAGUAGCACUAGGAACUGCUUUUGUGCAUUUAUAUAUAACUGAUGGAAAGUGUUGAUGAACCUAAAUUAUGCAUGCAGCUGCUCUGCCUAGCUACUCUUUCUUUACCUUAUAGGUUUUUGACUUAGUGCAAUAUUAGGUAAAUGAUCGAGAUAAGAUGGUUUUUUGGUUCUCUCGAUCAUUAUGUAACUGUUGGCUAGGUUUAGAGUUGGAACUAUGGAUUGUAUUUUGGAUGAUGUUGAUGCAAUGAAACGUAGGCAUCAUUUUGAAUGCUGAUUUUAGUCCAAUUUUAUG